GGAGAAACAUUUAAAAGAAAUAAAAACAGAAAUAAAAGACAAGACAAACUGGCUGUGACAAAAGACGAUUAGACAGAGAAUGAGUGAGAAUGGGCCUACUGGGCAGACUGGGGAAGAGGAAACAGGUGUGCAGGAGGGUGAUGGUGACAGCAGUGGCAGAGAAGUGGACUAAGACACGCAAGGUAAGUUAUGUUUAUUUUAUUUUAUUAGAGAGUGGACAAAAUAAUUGACUGCAUCUCUGUCAGGUUAUUUUUUCUUAGUAAAGAGUCGAGUCAGUUUUAUUUUGUUGCGGCAGAAAGAGGCUGACGACAGGAGAAUCAGAUGAUGGAGACACACGUGUCAGAUGGAGAAUCUCUUUUAUUUCACAACAGCUCACCAACAACAUAAAAGAGAAAAUACCAACAUUAUGGAACGUGACACACCUUUUAUACUGAAGACAGGCUGUGUGUGUGUGUGUGUGUGUGUUCGAGUUGCGUGACAAGUGUGAUGCGUUGUGUCUUUCUGUGGUGCAGGGAGAACGGCUCGGCCACACAGGACUCGCUCUCACUCUGCCUCUUUACUCUGGUACAAAGAUCAGCGUCAACAGCGUGUCAUGCAACUGCGAGCGUUCAGCUCUCUCCAGCAUGAAAGUAUCUUUCUUUUUUUUGCUGAUUUUUACAAAAGACUCAUAUAAAAUACAUCUUCACAUUACAAUGCUAUCAGUCUUCCCUUCCUGUACAUCCCAGUGUAAAACAUGUGAUCGUAUGGUGGCAACAUUAUGUAUGAUUUUCUAUUGCACCUAAGCAGGAAGAGCUGUUUUCUUCUAAAUUAAUAAUAAAAAUUCUAAAACAACCUAAAUUAACAUUUUAUCCCUAAGCAACAAAAUAUAGGUAGUGCAACACGUUGUUUUACAAAAACAAACAUUUUACCAACAAUAUGUAAAAACCCACAUUUAACUAAAGCUAACUGGUACAAAAACCAGCAACACAUCACCGUCAGCAGCGUGUCAUGAAACUGCAAACGUUCAGGUCUGUGUAACAAAGAGUAGAAAGAUGACCGUCUCAAAUAAUUACUAGAAGACAUUACGCCACGGAGCAAGCCAGCAAGUACGAGGCUAGCUAACUAGCAUUAGCUCGAUAUGCUAAUCAAAACACUGCUCGUGGAUAAAGUUACAAUUCCUGCACAUAAACGUCUGUAACUUUCUGACUACCAGUGUUUAUAGUGCAUGCUACCGACUGUUGCAGAAACAGUUUUAAAGCAGCAUUGCUCAUAUGUACCCACCUCCAGCAUGAAAGUAUAUCUAUGCAUCAUUCCACCAGGUGGCUCUAAAACUAUGUACAUACAAUAUCUAUUUUGAAGAAAUUCAUACUAGGGGUUAUUUCUAACCAUGUUACACAAGUCUCAUCCUGUUUACCAGACUUUUUGCCGAUCCUAAAUUCUACAGAAGAAUGGGACAUUUCUCAAUUUCACUGAUCUUUGGACUUAAACCAAAUUUGAGUGGGCGUCUCUGCACUAUGUUUGUGGUAUUCUGCCUCUUUCCCAAUAUCUCCAGAUGUCUCCUGUUUUGGUUUGGUGGACUGACAUGUUUGGCGUCGGUACUGGUCACCGUGACCUGGCACUCAUUCUUCCACAAUUUGUAAAGCUCAACAACGUCCCUUUUAAUGAUAGAAAAAGUGGAGGAAAUUUCAGGAAGAGCAACAGAGGAGGGAUUCCUCCCUCAGGAUGGACACAUAUAUAUGAGGAACAUGAUCAGGAGGACAUUGAUGAACUUCCAGGUGCCACCAAAUAGAGACAGGACCUGAUAUGACCUCCUCUCCUAGAGACCUGGAAAGAGGACAUACAUACACACACAGAAUAAGGACAGAUGAGGUUCAGGCUGAAUCUCCUGAAAGAUGAAGACGCAGUAACUCUGGAAAUGGCACCGCCAGCUGAGGGAAGGAGAGCAGAGAGUCUCUGGAGAUGAAGAGUUGAGCUGAGCUGCUGGUAUCACAGCUGACAAUCAAACGGCGUCCUCCUGUCCUCUGGAAUAAAUAGUCCAAACAUGUCGCUCUGUGUACUGAGAGAGGCCUCUAGUCUUUGUCUUUGGGGGAAAUAAACACACUCUGAACUUUAUCAGUUGACUUGUGUUCAAACAAAGAAAGCAAACAAGCAGGAAAACCUAAUGUGUGAUAAGCUGCAACCACUUUACUGCUUAAUUACCUCAAAACGAGCACUUUCAACAGAUCCACUCGCUGCUGUUUGCAGAUGUUUUUUUCCACGUUUCCAGAAUCACAGAAUAUUUCUUUACACCAUUUCUUAUAUAUGAAAAGAGCACCGUGAUCUCUUGACCUCCUUACUUACUGUCAGACGCUCUUUAAGAAGUGCAACUUACUUUACUACUCAAAAUGUAAUGGAGCCUGCAGUCAGAUUAAUAUACACAACACUAAUAACAUCGACUACAGACGCUCCUUUGAAUAAAGGAAUUAAAUUAAAAGCAAAAUCCCAGUUUGAGCUGCUCUUUCUGCAUCAAUCCAGCAUGUUCAGAGUUAUUUUAUGAUGAAAUAUUGCAGCCACUCUCCCUGACAAGUUUCACAUCUACCCAGAAUGCCUUUCACCAUCUUGAGAGGCUUUGAACUUAUGUUCCAUCUGUGCGUUACGAGUGUAGGUGGAGGUGAUCGCAGGGAGCCGUGCCCCUCGCUCCAAACUUCCCGGACCCGUAUUCAGACGUCAUAGCGGCACCAGAAUGAAGCUGGAGGUUUGAUCAGAACUAAAAAUACUCCGCUAACCAUCUACAUUAUGUUUGGACUGUUAUCCAAAGCAUGAAGAAACUGUUUAAGGGCGUUAAAGUGUUUAGGUUUGUUUUCUGGAGAUAAAAGUUCUUAUCCUGUUAGAUUUGCUGUUGGAGGAAUCCCAGAGAGAUCGUGUUUAUGAGGAGUUUGAGUCUGUUUGUCCGCCGACGUGAAGCCCACAGGAGAGCGAGGUGUGAAAUGUAACCCUAACACCUGUGAACAGAACAUCACAACAUCAAAACAAACCUUCUUCUGGCUGCGGGAGGAUUACACUCACUUUACAUGUUGGGAGAUGAUCUUCAUGGCUCCAGUCUUACUAGAGAAAGAUGUUGCCCCCCCUCCGGCCUGGUGGGUGUCACACCCUGCAGCUUUCUUUAUGUAAAAACAAAGAGGCAGAGAACUUCUGCUUCUUCAACAUCAUAAUACUUAACAGUUGACUCCCUGAGGUGAUCAACUAAAUGCUAAUUGUAGCAUCAGGUAAGUUAAUGUGUCCUCAAAUACAAGAGAUAUCUAUACAUAUGUAACCGUAGCAUAUGUUAGAAACUGAAGCACUGUAAAAUAACCAAAAUGAAUGUCCUUAAGUCUCCUUGUUCUUCAGUUGCUCUUGAAUUACACAUUAACUCAAAAACAAUAAUAUACAACCUCACAGUGAGUAACUAUUAACUUUACACCUCAUAUUACUCCAUUGUCAAACAUUCACAAAUUACUGUAUUUACACCUCCUUUAAACUCAGUAACAACCACACAUAUACAGGAAAACAGUUUAGCAGACUGUUGAUACAUGCACUAGCACUUUAUGUAUCUUCAGAUUGAUUAACAAGCCAAAACAAACCCCUUCUACAUGUCUCAUUAGCAUUUCUAUUGUACUCUGUAUUCUACCUUACUCAUUAGCAACAGGUCCGCUAGCCUAGCAUCAGUGUGUAGCUAAACAUAGCAAAACAUCUCUAUUUCGACACAUUACUGCAAAACCACUCGACUCUAACGUUACACGUCAUCACAAAUGAUUCACAACACUCUUAUCCCUUAUACGGGGGUACAUGCAUGUGAUUUUGAGGAAUAUUAACCCUCCUUUAUGUAAAAACAAAGAGGCAGAAAACUUCAGCUCAACGUGUUUGCUUCUUCGGGGUUUUAGGUUCCUCCAAGCUAAGCGCCCUCUAGUGUCCUGUUUAAGCACUGACACGGUAACAAGUAGAGUACAAUGAAAUUUGGAAUUUAAUCACUAUUUGACACAAUAAAAUAAAAUAAAAAAAUAUAGGGGUGUCUAUUUUUAAACACAUUUAAGUUAAUAAUGAUAGUUUUUGCAGUGAACUGUACCAUGUACCAUGGUCCCAAUGACUUUUUAACAUCUUUAUGCCAUUUUAAUAUUCCUUUACAUACAUUUAACCCUUUACAAAGACAACAGGAAGGGCCGGCUGUCUUCAGAGGGAUUCUAGUUAGUAAAAUAUCAACAAAUAUCAAACUUUGGCAGUUUAAUAGUGAUUGAAAAAGCACUUGGAUCUUGUGAGGUCACAAGGCAGAGUGGCUGUUGGGACCAGAACCUCCUCUCUCUCUCUACCAGCGGUACCUGCAGGCGGUGAAUCACAUCAGCAGCAGACGACGAGGAGACAGGAUGAAAGACUUUGAUGCUGCGCUGUGUGAAACAUACCGGCUGUGGAUGGGACACUGCAGGCACAGCGGUUGAAAAUAUAAGUUCUUAUUAGCUUUCUACUCACGAAGGGUUUUGUUUCACUUACAGUAGCCGGUAGUUUCCUCCACAGUUCAGCACAGAGAUCAGCUCAUAAUGAAAAGUGUAGAAAGCGGAGAGAGCAGAGAUCAACAUCACAAGUCAACUUUGAUUUGCUUCUUUUACUUCUAGCAUCUCGUAUCUAUAACAUAAUCUACUGAAAUGUCCAUCAGAGUACAGCUAUUAAUGUGAUUCAGGCAGGUGUGAAACUUAUAAUAAUGUUGUUCAGGUGUGACUGAAUGUCUCCGGGAUACAUCGGUACCGCUGCUGUUUGUUGCUCACAGCUGCUGUGUGUCAGAUUCUUUCUGUGACGAGUGACACAACAGCAGUAACUUCAUUAACAGGACGGUGAUUAAUGUUCUGUGUUCUGCUACACAGUAAUCAAUGUACAGUAAACAGUGAAACAGCGUGUAAUUAAACAGCCCUUAUGGAUAAAUCCA